UACGUAGGGGGCAAGCGUUGUCCGGAAUUACUGGGCGUAAAGCGCGCGUAGGCGGCUUUGUAAGUUAGAGGUGAAAGCCCGGGGCUCAACCCCGGAACUGCCUUUAAGACUGCAUCGCUUGAAUCCGGGAGAGGUGAGUGGAAUUCCGAGUGUAGAGGUGAAAUUCGUAGAUAUUCGGAAGAACACCAGUGGCGAAGGCGGCUCACUGGACCGGUAUUGACGCUGAGGUGCGAAAGCGUGGGGAGCAAACAGG
rnacentral:rRNA from 1 species